rnacentral:misc_RNA from 1 species
GAUGAAGAACGUAGCGAAAUGCGAUACUUGGUGUGAAUUGCAGAAUCCCGUGAACCAUCGAGUUUUUGAACGCAAGUUGCGCCCGAAGCCGUUAGGCCGAGGGCACGCCUGCCUGGGUGUCACACGCCGUUGCCCCCCCAUCUACUCCUUCGGGAUUGCGGGGGGGCGGAUGAUGGCCUCCCGUGCGCCUAGCCGCGCGGUUGGCAUAAAUACCAAGUCCUCGGCGACGCACGCCACGACAAUCGGUGGUUGCGAAACCUCGGUUGCCCGUCGUGUGCGUUCGUCGCGCAUCGAGGGCUCGAAAAAAUGCUCGGCUCCGGCUGGGCUUUCAACGCGACCCCAGGUCAGGCGGGACUACCCGCUGAGUUUAAGCAUAUCAAUAAGCGGAGGA